rnacentral:rRNA from 1 species
AUUGGACAAUGGGCGAAAGCCUGAUCCAGCCAUGCCGCGUGUGUGAAGAAGGUCUUCGGACUUGUAAAGCACUUUAAGUUGGGAGGAAGGGCAGUUACCUAAUACGUGAUUGUUUUGACGUUACCGACAG